ACACUGUGUUUGGAUGUAUGAAUUGAGCCUCGGAAUUGCCUGUAUGGAAUUGGUAGACCGAAUUCCGCUGUUUGAAGUGGCUCAGAAUUUGGACCGUGGAAACGUCGACCCAAUUCCACGCCCGCCCGCGGCCUGUGUUAAGUGGCCUCGUUCCUUUCCGAGCUCCACAGCUCGGAAAGGCUCGGAAAGGCUCGCGUACCCGUUCGUGACACAGCCAAAAGAGGAAACGCAGCGGCGACAGAGGAAGCGCAGGGGCGGCGGCGGCUCUGGCUCCGAACCAUUGGAGAACUGGUCCCCUUGAAUAAUCAUGUCUCAUCAUGAGUUGGUUGCUUACAUUACGGAAGAGAACAAAAGAAGGAAAAGGAAAAGGAUAAGGCUAAUAUUGAC